rnacentral:rRNA from 1 species
GACGAACGCUGGCGGCGUGCCUAAUACAUGCAAGUUGAGCGAUGAAGAUUGGUGCUUGCACCAAUUUGAAGAGCAGCGCACGGGUGAGUAACGCGUGGGGAAUCUGCCUUUGAGCGGGGGACAACAUUUGGAAACGAAUGCUAAUACCGCAUAACAACUUUAAACAUAAGUUUUAAGUGUGAAAGAUGCAAUUGCAUCACUCAAAGAUGAUCCCGCGUUGUAUUAGCUAGUUGGUGAGGUAAAGGCUCACCAAGGCGAUGAUACAUAGCCGACCUGAGAGGGUGAUCGGCCACAAUGGGACUGAGACACGGCCCAAACUCCUACGGGAGGCAGCAGUAGGGAAGCUUCGGCAAUGGACGAAAGUCUGACCGAGCAACGCCGCGUGAGGGAAGAAGGUUUUCGGAUCGUAAAACUCUGUUGGUAGAGAAGAACGUUGGUGAGAGUGGAAAGCUCAUCAAGUGACGGUAACUACCCAGAAAGGGACGGCUAACUACGUG